AUCAAAGAAAAUCAAAAUAAAACUCGGCAAAUCACAAACUGCUAUCUCCUUCAUCUCUCCCCCUUCUUCUCUCUUCUCCAUCGUCAGAUCUAAAAAAAUUUCUCUCUUUCUGUUUCUCCCCCCCCUUCCAACUCUCGCGCCAAAUACAAAACCACUCCCCCCCCCCUCCCCCCUCUCUCUCCAGAUUUUUUUAGUAAGAUGGCCGAUAAUCCGACCAGUCCGGCGGCGGGGAGCCACGAGAGUGGUGGUGAGCAGAGCCCGCGGUCAGGGGUGAGAGAGCAGGAUAGAUACCUGCCUAUUGCUAAUAUAAGUAGGAUCAUGAAGAAGGCGUUGCCGGCUAAUGGAAAAAUUGCUAAGGAUGCUAAGGAUACUGUUCAGGAAUGUGUUUCUGAGUUCAUUAGCUUUGUUACCAGCGAGGCGAGUGAUAAGUGUCAGAAGGAGAAGAGGAAGACGAUCAAUGGGGAUGAUUUGUUGUGGGCAAUGGCAACGUUAGGAUUUGAGGAUUAUAUUGAGCCACUUAAGGUGUACCUGGCUAGGUACCGGGAGGUAAUUAGUUUGUUUUCUUGUCUAUGAUUUAUUUUGUUUACAUAUAGGUUGGUUUGUAAUCUAAUCAUCUGACUAUUCUCUUUCCUUCUCUUUCACCGAUUGGUUUUAUUGGAUCACUGCCAUGUCACAGUUGGAGGGUGAUGCAAAGGGGUCUGCUAGAGGUGGAGAUGGAUCUUCUAAACGGGAUGCAGUUGGAGGUCUGCCUGGUCAAAAUGCACAGGUGCAGGGACAGCAUAUGAUCCUUCCUUCCAUGCCAGGCAACGAGUAGGGUUUGGCUUUGCUUUGGUCAAUUCAGUGAAUUGUAAGUUGUAACGUUGGUAAAACUUUUUAGUUCCAACACUUGUAGAAUCUAAUCUCUCGCAUUAGUUGAUCUGAUUGGAACCAAAGUGCCCUAUAUAUUUUGGUGGCUUUGGUUUUUGGUUGUUUGUUGGGGGUGGUUUGAAUUUGGUUGGUGCCUUCAUCAUCAGUGCAGUUUUAAUAGUUAGAUUAAUUUCUGUAAAUUUGUUUUCUCAAAUAUAUAUUUUUCCGAGCAUUGCAAGUA